GAUGAACGCUGGCGGCGUGCCUAAUACAUGCCAGUCGAGCGAACGGACGAGAAGCUUGCUUUUCUGAUGUUAGCGGCGGACGGGUGAGUAACACGUGGAUAACCUACCUAUAAGACUGGGAUAACUUCGGGAAACCGGAGCUAAUACCGGAUAAUAUUUUGAACCGCAUGGUUCAAAAGUGAAAGACGGUCUUGCUGUCACUUAUAGAUGGAUCCGCGCUGCAUUAGCUAGUUGGUAAGGUAACGGCUUACCAAGGCAACGAUGCAUAGCCGACCUGAGAGGGUGAUCGGCCACUCUGGAACUGAGACACGGUCCAGACUCCUACGGGAGGCAGCAGUAGGGAAUCUUCCGCAAUGGGCGAAAGCCUGACGGAGCAACGCCGCGUGAGUGAUGAAGGUCUUCGGAUCGUAAAACUCUGUUAUUAGGGAAGAACAUAUGUGUAAGUAACUGUGCACAUCUUGACGGUACCUAAUCAGAAAGCCACGGCUAACUACGUG
rnacentral:rRNA from 1 species